rnacentral:rRNA from 1 species
UACAGAGGUCCCAAGCGUUGUUCGGAUUCACUGGGCGUAAAGGGUGCGUAGGUGGCCAGGUAAGUUCGGUGUGAAAGCUCGGAGCUUAACUCCGAAAUGGCAUUGAAUACUAUCUGGCUAGAGGGUCGGAGGGGAGACUGGAAUUCUCGGUGUAGCAGUGAAAUGCGUAGAUAUCGAGAGGAACACCAGUGGCGAAGGCGAGUCUCUGGACGACACCUGACACUGAGGCACGAAAGCCAGGGGAGCAAACAGG